GGAGGGAUGGCCGAGUGGUUUAAGGCGUCCCGCUUGAAACGGGAUGGGGGAAACCCCCGUGGGUUCGAAUCCUACUCCCUCCGCCA
rnacentral:tRNA from 1 species